GCCCGUGUAGCAUAGUGUUAAGGAGAGGGCUCAUGACCCAAAGGUUUCUGGUUCGAUUCCCCACUGGGGCA